ACGUAAAAAAAAAUCAUCUCCCACUCUCAUUCUACUUUUUUUCACUCUCUUUUACACAAAGACACACUCUAAUACGCAAGGAGAGAACUCUCCCUUCGGACGAUUCGCUGCUCCUCCGGCGUCAGCGAGGAAGCUCCCCUCAUCUCCUCCAUGUCUGGAUACCUCUCUACUCACCUACACACAACACCAUCUCUCUCCGCUGAAUUGUCGUCGUUGUCGACUGCUCGGCAGUUUCCGUCGCUGGUUUCCGACAAUCUUAGAGUAGACUUGUCUUCCCUUUGAGUAAUCCUGGCCCGAGGGAUAGCACGGGCAAGGAGAAGGCGAAGGAGUAAAGUGAUCUAGUACGGCAUUUUGGAUUUUAAGAUUGGGUGAUCAGAUUAGCUCUUUUGCUGUACAGCUGCUCAAGUCGGGUCACUAGCCAAGCUUUUGUGUUGGGUAAAUCUUUUGGAUUUGAUAAAUGUGGCAAGUAGUAGGAGUGUAAUGUACCUUGGGCGUUAUAUUACUACAUAAACUUUUGCUAAGCAUGUAUAUUUUGUGAGUAGUGUCUAGGUUGUGUGUAUGUAUAUAUAUAUAUAUAAACUUUUGGAAACAUGUUUAUGGUUUAAUUCUAGACGUUAUAUAGCA